rnacentral:rRNA from 1 species
AUGUCAGCGGGCGGGAUGAAGCAGUCCACCGACAGGCCCGGCACGUUGAAGGCCACCUCCUCGAUGCUCCACGCCUCCUCCAUCCGCGUCUUGGUGUGGCUCAUGGCCGCCUCGCCGAACCGGAACAGCGUCACGGCGGAGCGCCCCGCGUGCGCGAUCAUGAUGCCCUCCACGGCGCGGUACUCCUCCAGGCACGAGCUGAUGGUGGUCUCCCAGUACACGGCGUCGCCGCCCGAGUGCGGCUGGAUGCGGGUCAGGUGCGAGUCCUCGAUGUGCACCAUCAGCCCCGUCCGCUGGCUGAAGUAG